AAUAAAGUGGCUGAAGUAUUAAGCGAUAAACUGUAAAUUUAUUUAUGAAAUUUUUUUUCCUUUAUUA
rnacentral:tRNA from 1 species